CCUACGGGAGGCAGCAGUGGGGAAUAUUGGACAAUGGACGAAAGUCUGAUCCAGCAAUGCCGCGUGAGUGAUGAAGGCCUUAGGGUUGUAAAGCUCUUUUACCAGGGAUGAUAAUGACAGUACCUGGAGAAUAAGCUCCGGCUAACUCCGUGCCAGCAGCCGCGGUAAUACGGAGGGAGCUAGCGUUGUUCGGAAUUACUGGGCGUAAAGCGCACGUAGGCGGUUAUUCAAGUCAGAGGUGAAAGCCCGGGGCUCAACCCCGGAACUGCCUUUGAAACUAGAUAGCUAGAAUCCUGGAGAGGUGAGUGGAAUUCCGAGUGUAGAGGUGAAAUUCGUAGAUAUUCGGAAGAACACCAGUGGCGAAGGCGGCUCACUGGACAGGUAUUGACGCUGAGGUGCGAAAGCGCGGGGAGCAAACAGGAUUAGAUACCCUGGUAGUCCACGCCGUAAACGAUGAUAACUAGCUGUCCGGGCACAUGGUGCUUGGGUGGCGCNGCUACGCAUAAGUUAUCCGCCGUCGGGAGGUACGGUCGCGAGAGUUAAACGUAACGUAAAGUAAGUUAGUUACGUCGUUGAGACGUUGCCGACGGCGACGACGAGGGAGGAGG
rnacentral:rRNA from 1 species